rnacentral:ncRNA from 3 species
AUAAACGCUUUGACUUGAGAAUAGUAAAUGAACAUCCGUUUUUUAAGAGAGCUGCGGGUCGGUGCAACGCAGUAAAACGAAUCAUUGAACUCGCUCAAAGAGCGGUAAGACUGAAUGAAUAGUAAGUCUUUACGUGUGACCUCCGUUAUCGGGUUUUAAGUUGGAUUCAGCCAUGGCUGAAUCAAUAAGAGUGGUAACGCGGUUGCAAGGUCAGUCGUCUCUUCC